rnacentral:lncRNA from 10 species
GAGGCACUGGAGACAAAGAUCAGCCACGUGGCAGUCAACCAUGUCUAUCUGACCAAGUUCCAAUGAAAACUCUGGACACCAAGGCUUGGGUGAGCUUCCGCAGUUGUACAUGUAUUGAUUGAUACACUUGGAGAUAUUUCUCAAAAGACUCCUCUGCGGGAGAGGAGAAUAGCUGUACUCUAAGCAGUUCGCAGGGAGCAUCUUUCAGCAGCUGAAACAGCUUUGCGGCCUUGCUGUAAUGAAGAUCUGCCAGCACCCGGUGUUGUUUCCUAAGGUGUUCAUCACCAACCUAGAACCAAACCAAAACAAGCAACAAAUCCUUCACGAGAAAGAAAGAAAACAACUGUGUAAGCAGACAUCAGUGUAAACCUUAGCACUGUCUCUUGAUGAGAUAAGAGGAGGAUGGCAGUGACAGGAGUGUGGUGGCGAGCCAGUCACCUGCAGUCAACCACGGCUCAUUGCUCUCACCAUGCCUGUUACAUGAAGGUAUGUAUGUAUAGGAAAAAGCACUGAAAAACUCUCCAGUUUCAGGCAUCCACUGGGGAUCUUGGAACG